UACAGAGGUCUCAAGCGUUGUUCGGAUUCAUUGGGCGUAAAGGGUGCGUAGGCGGCGCGGUAAGUCGGGUGUGAAAUCUCGGAGCUUAACUCCGAAACUGCAUUCGAUACUGCCGUGCUUGAGGACUGGAGAGGAGACUGGAAUUUACGGUGUAGCAGUGAAAUGCGUAGAUAUCGUAAGGAAGACCAGUGGCGAAGGCGGAUCUCUGGACAGUUACUGACACUGAGGCACGAAGGCCAGGGGAGCAAACGGG
rnacentral:rRNA from 1 species